rnacentral:misc_RNA from 1 species
GAAAUGCGAUAAGUAGUGUGAAUUGCAGCAUUCAGUGAAUCAUCGAAUCUUUGAACGCACAUUGCGCCCUUUGGUAUUCCUUAGGGCAUGCCUGUUCGAGCGUCAUCUAAACCUUCAAGCCCUGCUUGGUGUUGGGUGCCUGUCCCGCCUCCGCGCGCGGACUCACCUCAAAUCCAUUGGCGGCCCCCGCGUCGGCCACGAGCGCAGCAGAAACGCGAACUCGUGAGCCCGUCCGGGCGGCUCCCAGAAGCUACACCCACCCAGUUUGACCUCGGAUCAGGUAGGGAUACGCGCUGAACAUAAGC